UCUUUUGGAGAGUUUGAUCCUGGCUCAGGACGAACGCUGGCGGCGUGCCUAAUACAUGCAAGUCGAGCGGACCGGAUCGGAGCUUGCUCUGAUUUGGUCAGCGGCGGACGGGUGAGUAACACGUGGGCAACCUGCCCGCAAGACCGGGAUAACUCCGGGAAACCGGAGCUAAUACCGGAUAACACCGAAGACCGCAUGGUCUUCGGUUGAAAGGCGGCCUUUGGGCUGUCACUUGCGGAUGGGCCCGCGGCGCAUUAGCUAGUUGGUGAGGUAACGGCUCACCAAGGCGACGAUGCGUAGCCGGCCUGAGAG
rnacentral:rRNA from 1 species